rnacentral:rRNA from 1 species
AGUGAACGCUGGCGGUAGGCCUAACACAUGCAAGUCGAACGGCAGCACAGUAAGAGCUUGCUCUUACGGGUGGCGAGUGGCGGACGGGUGAGGAAUACAUCGGAAUCUACUUUUUCGUGGGGGAUAACGUAGGGAAACUUACGCUAAUACCGCAUACGACCCACGGGUGAAAGCAGGGGAUCUUCGGACCUUGCGCGAUUGAAUGAGCCGAUGUCGGAUUAGCUAGUUGGCGGGGUAAAGGCCCACCAAGGCGACGAUCCGUAGCUGGUCUGAGGGGAUGAUCAGCCACACUGGAACUGAGACACGGUCCAGACUCCUACGGGAGGCAGCAGUGGGGAAUAUUGGACAAUGGGCGCAAGCCUGAUCCAGCCAUACCGCGUGGGUGAAGAAGGCCUUCGGGUUGUAAAGCCCAUUUGUUGGGAAAGAAAAGCAGCAGGUUAAUACCCCGCUGUUCUGACGGUACCCAAAGAAUAAGCACCGGCUAACUUCGUG